rnacentral:rRNA from 1 species
UACGUAGGCAGCAAGCGUUGUUCGGAGUUACUGGGCGUAAAGGGUGCGUAGGCGGCUUUUUAAGUUUGGUGUGAAAUCUCCCGGCUCAACUGGGAGGGUGCGCCGAAUACUGAGAGGCUAGAGUGUGGGAGAGGAAAGUGGAAUUCCUGGUGUAGCGGUGAAAUGCGUAGAUAUCAGGAGGAACACCGGUGGUGUAAACGGCUUUCUGGACCAUAACUGACGCUGAGGCACGAAAGCAUGGGGAGCAAACAGG